AUUGAACGCUGGCGGCAGGCCUAACACAUGCAAGUCGAACGAGUGGCGGACGGGUGAGUAAUGUCUGGGAAACUGCCUGAUGGAGGGGGAUAACUACUGGAAACGGUAGCUAAUACCGCAUACCAUCAGAUGUGCCCAGUUGGGUUUAGCUUGUUGGUGGGGUAACGGCCCACCAAGGCGACGAUCCCUAGCUGGUCUGAGAGGAUGACCGGCCACACUGGAACUGAGACACGGUCCAGACGCCUACGGAAGGCAGCAGUGGGGAAUAUUGCACAAUGGGCGCAAGCCUGAUGCAGCCAUGCCGCGUGUAUAAAGAAGGCCUUCGGGUUAUAAAGUACUUUCAGAGGGGAGGCGUUACCCGCAGAAGAAGCACCAGCAAACUCCGUGCCAGCGGCCGCGGUAAUUC
rnacentral:rRNA from 1 species